rnacentral:rRNA from 1 species
AUGCUACUGGAAGACAUCACUGUGAUUCGGGAUUCCUGUGCACCAGACACGUGUGUGGAGGCAAUAUCCGAAUGGACUUGUAGGGUACCUUGUUCAAAAUUGGGUGAACUGCUCACUGGCUGGAUUGUGUUACUGGCAUGUUUGCAACUUCCUUGCAUGUUCUUGAGCAAUAUUUGGACCCAUCCUCCCAUAAAGCGGUCUGGAGACCCUCGUCCUAAUCUUUUUCGUCUGAGGCACGUUAUAGGAAGCACUAUUACUAAAGACCGAGGGGUCCAACGUUUCUGCCAUGUACCAUUUGGAAGCACUAGAACUGGAGGCAAAAGUCUGUUGAAAUUAUUAAUAGUAAUGCUUGUUGAGUGGUGA